GGCAGCCUGUGGCCCUUUGCAGAAGGUAACUGAAGAUGGAAGAAUCAUAUAAUGCAAACUGUUCCCAUGCUGUGCCAGAGUCCUGGAUUUCUCUGAGAUUUUUUUUAAUCAUCCAAAGAAUUAAUAUGACUCAACACAACUGCAGAACCGAAGCAAUGAUAUAAUAUCAACUGCUGUAUUUGUUGGAGUUUGCCACCUUGUAAAGGAAAAUGAAAAAUGCCAUGCUGAGAUGGUUUGUUUCACCAAUUAUCCUUUAUUUUCCCCCUGUUGAAAAGGUAUUUACUUGCCCCCUUCCGAUUCUUGCAAACCCAUUAACAUAACUCAUAAACAUUCAAUUGCUGUUUCUUAAGUGUAUUUACACUGCAGUCCUACGUGCAUCUGCUCAGAAGAACCCCAC
rnacentral:lncRNA from 11 species